AUCCCAGGAGCUUGCUCCUGGGUGAGAGUGGCGAACGGGUGAGUAAUGCGUGACCGACCUGCCCCAUACACCGGAAUAGCUCCUGGAAACGGGUGGUAAUGCCGGAUGCUCCAGUUGGAUGCAUGUCCUUCUGGGAAAGAUUCAUCGGUAUGGGAUGGGGUCGCGUCCUAUCAGCUUGAUGGCGGGGUAACGGCCCACCAUGGCUUCGACGGGUAGCCGGCCUGAGAGGGCGACCGGCCACAUUGGGACUGAGAUACGGCCCAGACUCCUACGGGAGGCAGCAGUGGGGAAUAUUGCACAAUGGGCGCAAGCCUGAUGCAGCGACGCCGCGUGCGGGAUGACGGCCUUCGGGUUGUAAACCGCUUUUGACUGGGAGCAAGCCCUUCGGGGUGAGUGUACCUUUCGAAUAAGCACCGGCUAACUACGUGCCAGCAGCCGCGGUAAUACGUAGGGUGCAAGCGUUAUCCGGAAUUAUUGGGCGUAAAGGGCUCGUAGGCGGUUCGUCGCGUCCGGUGUGAAAGUCCAUCGCUUAACGGUGGAUCCGCGCCGGGUACGGGCGGGCUUGAGUGCGGUAGGGGAGACUGGAAUUCCCGGUGUAACGGUGGAAUGUGUAGAUAUCGGGAAGAACACCAAUGGCGAAGGCAGGUCUCUGGGCCGUCACUGACGCUGAGGAGCGAAAGCGUGGGGAGCGAACAGGAUUAGAUACCCUGGUAGUCCACGCCGUAAACGGUGGAUGCUGGAUGUGGGGACCAUUCCACGGUCUCCGUGUCGGANCCAACGCGUUAAGCAUCCCGCCUGGGGAGUACGGCCGCAAGGCUAAAACUCAAAGAAAUUGACGGGGGCCCGCACAAGCGGCGGA
rnacentral:rRNA from 1 species